GGAUCCGUGGCGCAAUGGUAGCGGUCGUGACUCAGCAUCAGAAGUUGUCGUGUUCGAUUCACGUCGGGUUCA
rnacentral:tRNA from 1 species